GAUGAACGCUGGCGGCGUGCCUAAUACAUGCAAGUCGAGCGAACAGACGAGGAGCUUGCUCCUUCGACGUUAGCGGCGGACGGGUGAGUAACACGUAGGUAACCUACCUAUAAGACUGGGAUAGCUUCGGGAAACCGGAGCUAAUACCGGAUAAUAUUUCGAACCGCAUGGUUCGAUAGUGAAAGAUGGCUUUGCUAUCACUUAUAGAUGGACCUGCGCCGUAUUAGCUAGUUGGUAAGGUAACGGCUUACCAAGGCAACGAUACGUAGCCGACCUGAGAGGGUGAUCGGCCACACUGGAACUGAGACACGGUCCAGACUCCUACGGGAGGCAGCAGUAGGGAAUCUUCCGCAAUGGGCGAAAGCCUGACGGAGCAACGCCGCGUGAGUGAUGAAGGUCUUCGGAUCGUAAAACUCUGUUAUUAGGGAAGAACAAACGUGUAAGUAACUGUGCACGUCUUGACGGUACCUAAUCAGAAAGCCACGGCUAACUACGUG
rnacentral:rRNA from 1 species